rnacentral:lncRNA from 1 species
CCCAUUUGAGUUGGAAAUUUCCAAAAAGUUUUCCAUAGUGAAGAAGAGUAGGGUAAAGUUAGAGUGAAUCAUUUUCAUAUAAAGUGAAGAAAUACUCAUCACCAUUUCUCUCAUCCCACCUCACUCUCUCAAUUGAUUUUGGGUAGAAUGAUGUCUAAACUCCUCCUUUGUUUUCUUUUCUUUCUCUCGUCCUCUCAGCUUCUUUCCUCCUCUUUCUCUUUCUCUAAUUCCACCAAACUAUGCCCGCAUCAGCAGGCUCUUGCUCUGCUCCACCUUAAGCAAUCCUUUUCUAUUGAUAAUUCCAGUUCUUGGGAUUGUGAUUCCAAUGGCAUCACUUCUUAUCCUAAAACAGAGUCUUGGAAGAAGGGUAGUGAUUGUUGCUCAUGGGAUGGGGUCACAUGUGAUUGGGUGACAGGCCAUAUAAUUGGGCUGGACCUCAGUUGCAGCUGGCUCUUUGGCAUCAUCCAUUCCAAUAGUACCCUUUUCCUUCUUCCUCACCUGCGAAGGCUCAACCUUGCUUUCAAUGACUUCAAUUACUCCUCUGUUUCAAUUGGGUUUGGUCGGUUCUCAAGCUUGAUGCAUCUCAAUCUCUCCUACUCUCUCUUUUCUGGAAAAAUUGCACCUGAAAUCUUCCAUCUCUCCAACUUGGUUUCACUUGAUCUGUCCGGGAAUUAUAAAGCAGAAUUUGCCCCGCAUGGCUUCAAUUCUCUGGUUCAAAAUUUAACCAAAUUGCAGAAGCUUCACCUUGGAUCUCUCCUAUUGCAAAUUCUCAGGGUCCAUCCCUACUUCAAUUGGCAAUCUAAAGUCUUUAUAGACUUUGGAUCUCUCCAAUUGCGAAUUCUCAGGGUCCAUCCCUACUUCAAUUGGCAAUCUAAAGUCUUUAAAGACUUUGGAUCUCUCCAAUUGCGAAUUCUCAGGGUCCAUCCCUACUUCAAUUUGCAAUCUAACAAACCUUCAGGACUUAAGAUUCUAUGAUAACUUGUUCACCGGGACAAUACCAUCCAGGUUAUACACUCUGGCAUCAUUGGUGAGCUUAGAUCUCAGUCUUAACAAACUCACUGGUCAUAUUGGUGAAUUCCGAUUUGAUUCAUUGGAGUAUAUUGAUUUGAGCAUGAAUGAGUUACAUGGGUCAAUUCCAAGUUCAAUAUUUAAGCUUGUAAACCAUAGAUAUCUUGUUCUUUCUUCAAAUAACUUCAGUGGCGUUUUGGAGACAAGCAACUUUGGAAAACUUAGAAACCUUACUUCGCUUGAUCUCUCAAACAACAUGCUCUCAUUGAUCACCUCUGCCAAUUCCAACUCCAUUUUACCAAGCAUUGUGAACCUAGACCUUUCAAACAAUAACAUUAGUGGAGUAUGGUCAUGGAAUAUGGGAAAGGAUACACUGCGGUACUUGAAUCUCUCUUAUAACAUCAUAAGUGGGUUUGAGACGCUUCCAUGGAAAAAUAUAGGAAUUCUAGAUCUUCAUUCCAACUUGUUGCAAGGACCACUUCCAACUCCUCCAAAUACUGCAUUUUUCUUUUCAGUAUCCCAUAACAAAUUGAGUGGAGAAAUCUCAUCAUUGAUUUGCAAAGCGAGUUCCAUGGGAAUUCUUGAUUUGUCUAAUAACAACUUGAGUGACAUGCUUCCUCAUUGUUUGGGGAAUUUUAGCAAAUAUCUCUCUGUUUUGAAUUUGCGAAGGAAUCAAUUUCAUGGCAUCAUUCCUCAAACAUUUUUAAAGGGCAAUGCUAUCAGGAAUCUUGACUUCAACGAUAAUAAAUUGGAAGGCCCAGUACCUCGAUCUUUGAUCAUUUGUCGAAAACUUAAAGUUCUAGACCUUGGGAAUAAUGUGAUAAAUGAUACAUUUCCCCAUUGGUUGGGAACUCUUCCAAAGUUGCAAGUUCUUGUUUUGCGUUCUAAUAGUUUUCAUGGUCAUAUAGGGCGUUCCAAAAUCAAAUCCCCAUUCAUGAGCCUAAGAAUCAUUGAUCUUGCUCACAAUGAUUUCGAGGGUGACUUGCCUGAAAUGUAUUUGAGAAGUUUGAAAGCAACAAUGAAUGUAGAUGAAUGCAACAUGACAAGAAAAUACAUGGGGGACAGUUAUUAUCAAGAUUCCGUAAUGGUGACAAUCAAGGGGUUAGAGAUUGAAUUUGUGAAAAUCUUGGAUACUUUCACAACAAUUGAUUUAUCAAGCAAUACAUUCCAAGGAGAGAUUCCAAAGUCCAUUGGAAAUCUUAAUUCACUCCGAGGACUCAAUUUGUCUCAUAACAACCUUGUAGGACAUAUCCCACCAUCUUUCAAAAAUUUGAAGUUGCUUGAAUCAUUGGACCUUUCUUCAAACAAGCUCAUUGGGAGAAUUCCUCAAGAAUUAACAAGUUUGACAUUUCUUGAAGUUUUGAAUCUUUCCCAAAACAAUCUCACCGGAUUUAUACCUCGAGGCAAUCAAUUUGAGACAUUUGGAAAUGAUUCAUACAACGAGAACUUAGGGUUAUGUGGAUUUCCAUUAUCAAAGAAAUGCACAACUGAUGAAACACUAAAGCCUUCAAAAGAGAUGGAUGCAGAGUUUGAAAGUGGGUUUGAUUGGAAAAUCACAUUGAUGGGAUAUGGAUGUGGAUUGAUAAUUGGGUUGUCUCUUGGGUGUCUCAUUUUCUUAACUGGGAAACCUAAAUGGUUGACAACGAUGGUUGAAGAGAACAUUCACAAGAAGAUCACAAGGUCUAAAAGAAGUACUUGUAGAAGAGGAGCAAGAAGAAAGUAGCAUAUUCCAACUGUAUUGUAUUUUGUGCUACAUAUUAUAAAUGGAUUUUACAUUUGUUAACAAAUAAUCUACUUGUUAUUAUAAAAGUGUAAUAUUGUUUGUAAAAUUAAAAUAAUGUUUUUUUCUUUUUCCUUUUUUUUUCUUUUUUGUGACAAUGCAACAGUCAUUAGGUUCAAUAUUUUUCCGGCCAACAUGAUAACUUAAAAUUCAUCAAAGAGCAAUUUGUAUAUCUUAGAGAUUAAUCAAACACUAAAGAAUAUUAAAGACUUAGUAGAAAUUUGGACAUACUUCUAAUUUUUAUUAUUUUUUAAAAACAAAACUUUGAUACAAGUAGAGACUUACACUAUGUUUUCAAAACUACUUUUUAAUUUAUUUUUAUUUUUUAAAUUUAAGAACACAAAGUUUUUAAAAUUUUAAAAAAUCUUUUAGAAAAUAUAAGAUAAAUCUCCUCUCUUGCUAAAAAAAAUGACUGCAUUUUAUAGAAGAGUUUAAAAACAAAAAACAAAAUACAAAAAUUGUUUCCAAACACCACUAUUUUUUUUUUCCCGAUAAUUCAUACUUUAUUAUUAUAUAGGGAAAGAACAAUAAUUUGUUUAUAUUAAAUAUAUAUGGGUAUAUUAUAACAACUAGUAUUUUAUUUGAGGAGCCACGACCGGGCCUAGUUCAAACCACGACAAGGCAUAACCAUUGCAACCAAAGCUCAAUUGGUAUUUCAUUGGAAAUCAUUUUUUAAAUAUAUGUUAUUGAAAAAUGUCAACUAUCACAUUAUGGAAAAGAAAAAUUUACGAAAGGACCACUUGAUAUCUUUUCAUUUGAAAGAAUAUCAUUGUUAGUGAUAUAUGUUAAAUAUUUAAAUCAAUUCUAUAAUUGCUAUCGAUAUUUGAAGAAGAAAAAACAUAAAUAAAUUAAAUAAUUUAACAUUUUUCAAUCAAUCUGACUUUAAUAAAUAAGGUUGAAGAUAGUGCACAAAAUCAAUAAAGAAAAAGCAUAUAUUUUUUUUAAUUAUUUAUUUAAACAAACUAAUAUUCAUUCAUUUUAUAUUUAUCUCUUACCAUUUUAAAAUAUUAAUAUUUAUUUUAAAAAUAUUAGUAUGCAUUAUAAUUUUUUAAAACAGUAUUAUUGAUUUUAAUAAAAAAAAUAUAAAUUCUAAUAUUCAUUUUUAAAAGUUGGUGAUUUCGGAAAUUUGUUUCUAAUAUUCAUGAAUUUAUACUCGUAUCUUUUUCUCAAAAUAAAUAAAUAAAUGUUAUUAAUUUGUUAUGAAUAGUGUGAUUUUUAAAAUAUAAUACUUGAUUAUUUAAUAAAAAUGUUGUUACUUAUCAUAACUUUUUAAAAAUGUAUUAUUUAUUAUUAAUUCGAAGAAAUAAAAUUUUAAUAUUUAUUUUGAUAGAAAAAAACCCAAUGAUAUUUUGUGGCCUUAUAAUAAUAAAGUUUAUUUUUAUUUUCAUUUUCUAUUUAAAUAAUUAUUUAAAAAAUCUGAAACUAAAAUCAUUGCCACGUAGGUUGCAACAUAAAAUGCAUGAUAGAUCAUAGAUGUAAUAACUUGGCAGUAAUAGGAAGCAUGUAUUGGAAUAUUAUACUCAUUUAAAAAUAUUAUUUUCACUCAUAAAACAAGUAAACCUAUCGAAAAAGUCAAGUGAUCACCAUAUCUCUUUUAUUUAUUAUUAAACUCAGCUUCAAUUGUAAAUUUUAAAAAAAGGCCAAAUGUAUACAAUCUUGAGUGGGGUCCACGCUACUGCCACAUGCUUUAUUUUCAUUUUUUUUAAAAAUUUAUUUACUUCCACUAUUUCUUUAAUAAAUAAAUAAAUAAAUAUUAAUAUUUCUUAUUUGUGUGUUCGUUGUGAUUAAAUCUACAGGUAGUUCGCAUUUUCUAAUUUUGACUAGAUUUAUAAGACGAAAACAAACGCAUUUGGAUGGAGCAAGUUUGAGGAGAUAGGUGGAUUUGGGCCUUCUCAAAUUUAGAUUUGGGCCUAGAACAUGAUUCAAAGCUCAGUCCAGCCCAAACGGCACACGUCUUAUUGGGUCUCAAUUUGGGCCUAUUGAGUUGACCUGGGCCAACCCGAUUCAAUUCAAUGGCAGGCAAUUGGUACCAUCAUCACUAGUAUACAAUUGCUGGUCUAAUUUUAGUAUUCUCUCUGUUUUUGAGUUUUCUCAAUCCCAAUUCACUAGCCAAAUUUUCAUACUUGUAAUGGGCAUUAAACAAGGUUUAAUUUAUAAUUAAAUAUAAUAAAUAGAAGAGAAAAAAAUGUUAAAAAAUUAUUUUCUAUGUUUGUUUAUUAUAAAAAAAAAUAUAUAAGAGAAAAUAAAUAUAAUUAAAAUUAAUUAUAGAUUUAUUUAUUUUUAAAUCAUUUCAUCUUUAUAUAGAAGAAAAAAAAAAGUGAAAUGAGUUUAAAGAAGAAUAUAAAAAUAAUUUAUCAUAUUUAAAUCUAUUUUUAAAAUUUUCUAGCAUUUUUUUUUUAUCUCUUUUCAUUUUCUUACCUUGAUAUUUUCUCAAGAUAUUUCCUUUAUCAUUUUUCAUUAUUGACGCCAAGUCAAUGGUUGAUGCUUCCACACGGUUUUGUGGAAAGAUGAUCAAGAAGAAAACAUGGCAAAUCUGAAAAAGAUACUCCACUUCUUUCAAAUACAAUUUUGUUUUUUAUUCUUUUUUUAUUUAUCAUACUUUCUUUACUAAUAUAUCACUUUUCAAAUAAAAUAAUUAAUUUACACUAAUUACUUUUUAACUAUAUUCUUUAAUCACCAAAGUAGCAAGAAUCUAUAUAAUUGUUUCCAGAUUUAGAACUCGUUUAAUAAUAAUUUUAGAAAACACUUUCAAUAUUUUUAUUGCUUAAAAAUUUUUAUAUUAAAAAUGCUAGAAACGCUUUAUAAAAUCACUCCCAAACUGGUUCUUACUCGUCACAUUAUUUAUUUGGCUAGAGGCCAUAAGUACAUUAGUGUAAACUAACAAUAUCAUUAAUUAGGAUAUUUUUUAGUAACUAAAAUCCUUAAUCUAAUUUUUUAUGGAUUUUUUUAUGGUCUUAAGAGGGAAUUGAUUGGUCAGAGUUUCAUAAGUUUACUAUUAAUGUAAUUAGUAGCCAAUCACUAUCUUUAAGUAAGUUAAUAGAUAUAAAUUUUAUCUUUAAAUUAAUUAUUUAGAAGAAUCAAUUGAUAAUUUUGGAAGAUGAUUUAUUUAUUUAUUUAUUUAUUACAAAAGAUGCUUUAGAAAAAAAAAAUAUUUUUAUAGUGUUGUAAACUCUUAGAUAGUGUUGUCAUUCUAUUGAUUCAUAGAAGUCAAAGUCAAGAAACGUGAAAAACGAAAGAAGGGAAAUUUCUAUGCUUCCAUGAUUCAUAGAAAAGAAGGUCAAAAGGCAAAUGAUUGAAAAAUGAAAGAAGGAAAGUUUAUAUGAAUUUAUGAUUCAUAGAAAAGAAGGUCCCCACACGGUUUUAUUUAUGGUGCGUGAAUGUUUUAAUAAUAUUAUGAUUUUAAAUAAAAAAGAAAUAAAUUUAUUAAUAAGUUUGUUCACAUAUUUUUCAAAAUUUGUUUUUCUUCUCUUUUACCUUUCAAAAAAAAAAUGAAAAUUUUGAAAAGAUAGAAAUAUUUUAAUAAUUUGAAUUGUUAUUUUUUUGCAAUUUUAAAUUAAACUAAAUAAUUAAUAUUAAAUUUAUUUUUUUUAAUUUGAAUCUUUUUAAUAUUUUCUUUGAUCCGAAGGGUAAUUUCAUUUUCAAACUUUUUAGACAAAUGAUAUUACCAAAAAUCUUGUGAUAUUCUACUAUUAGUGAUACUAACUAAGACAAAAAUUAUUUUCUUUUACCACUUAAUUAUUACCAUAGGAUGGUAUUAAAUUUAAAAGGAACAAAUAAAAUAGAAAAAUAAAAUAAAAAACAUUUUAUUUUACAAUAAAGGUGAAGAAAUAAAAUAAAAUAAAAAAUAAAUAUAAUUUCAUUCUCAUUUCCUUGCUUUUUCAUCUACUAUUGGUGGUCAAAGUUAUAAAUAUUUGCAUAUAUUUUUACAAUUUUUAGAUAAUUGGAGAAAAAAAGAAUAUAAAAGUAAUUUAUCACCUUUAAAUUUAUUUUCUUUUUUUAAUUUUAUGUCAUUUCUUAUUUCCUUUUAUUUUUCUUAGUAUUUUCUUUACUACUUUUUAUAAACCAAACACAACCUAAAAAUUAUUUUUAAAAAAAAUUAUUAUUUUUAUUUAAGCCAAAAAAUAAAAAUAUUUUUUUUAUUUCUCUUUUAUGAUAAACAAAAUGGUUAGAAAACUGAGUGCUUUGGUUUGAGUUUCCUCUUUCAUUUAUUUGAUCAAUAAAACAUUAUUAUUCUACUUUAAACUUGCAAAUUCAGCCAUGACCAUACAGAGAAAUUCAAACUGUGCCCUCUCAUGCUCCUCUGUUCUAUUUUCUCCCAAGUUAUUAAUUUUCUCGUCUUUCUCUAAUACCGGAGACUUGACUUCUUGUGGGCCAGCUUAAGAAAUCAUUUUUCAUUGUUGACCCUAACUCAAUGGUUCAUGCUUUCUCAUGAACCUUUUUGUUUUACUUUAAUAUUAUAAAAAAAGGUGGGUGGCUUUCACACGAUUUUGUGAAAGAUGAUCAAAACAUGAUUAUUCUAACUUGGAAUCAUUUGCAUAUAAAUUGGAGUGCACUUGUCACCAUUUCUCUCAUCUCAUCACUCUUUCUCUCUAUUGCUUUGGGAAGAAUGAUGUCUAAACUUCUCCUUUGUUUUCUUUUCUUUCUCUCGUCCUCUCAGCUUCUUUCCUCCUCUUUCUCUUUCUCUAAUUCCACCAAACUAUGCCCGCAUCAGCAGGCUCUUGCUCUGCUCCACCUUAAGCAAUCCUUUUCUAUUGAUAAUUCCAGUUCUUGGGAUUGUGAUUCCAAUGGCAUCACUUCUUAUCCUAAAACAGAGUCUUGGAAGAAGGGUAGUGAUUGCUGCUCAUGGGAUGGGGUCACAUGUGAUUGGGUGACAGGCCAUAUAAUUGGGCUGGACCUCAGUUGCAGCAGGCUCUUUGGCACCAUCCAUUCCAACACAACCCUUUUCCUCCUUCUUCAUCUACAAAGGCUCAACCUGGCUUUCAACAACUUCAAUGGGUCCUCUAUUUCAGCUGGGUUUGGUCGGUUCUCAAGCUUGACGCAUUUCAAUCUCUCUUACUCUGGAUUUUCAGGCCUAAUUGCACCAGAAAUCUCUCACCUCUCCACCUUGGUUUCACUCGAUCUGUCUGAGAAUUAUGGAGCAGAGUUUGCCCCGCAUGGCUUCAAUUCUCUGGUUCAAAAUUUAACCAAAUUGCAGAAGCUUCACCUUAGAGGUAUUUCCAUCUCUUCAGUUUUUCCUAAUUCCUUGCUAAAUCGGUCUUCUUUGAUAUCAAUAGAUCUCUCUGGGUGUGGAUUGCAUGGGAGAUUCCCUGACCAUGACAUUCACCUUCCGAAACUCGAGGUUCUCGACUUAUGGAGAAAUGAUGAUCUCAGUGGAAACUUCCCACGAUUCAGUGAGAACAAUUCCCUCAUGGAGUUGGAUUUAUCAUUCACAAAUUUGAGUGGAGAGCUUCCUGCUUCAAUUGGUAAUCUAAAGUCGUUACAGACUUUGGAUCUCUCCGGUUGCGAAUUCUCAGGGUUCAUUCAUACUUCAAUUGGCAAUCUAAAGUCUUUACAGACUUUGGAUCUCUCCGGUUGCGAAUUCUCAGGGUUCAUUCCUACUUCAAUUGGCAAUCUAAAGUCUUUACAGACUUUGGAUCUCUCCGAUUGCGAAUUCUCAGGGUCCAUCCCUACUUCAAUUGGUAAUCUAAAGUCUUUACAGACUUUGGAUCUCUCCAAUUGUGAAUUCUUAGGGUCCAUCCCUACUUCAAUUGGCAAUCUAAAGUCUUUACGGUCUUUAUACCUUUUUAGCAACAAUUUUAGUGGUCAGCUUCCACCAUCAAUUGGAAAUCUAACAAACCUUCAAAACUUAAGAUUCUCUAAUAACUUGUUCAAUGGGACAAUACCAUCUCAAUUGUAUACUCUGCCAUCAUUGGUGAAUUUAGAUCUCAGUCAUAAAAAACUCACUGGUCAUAUUGGUGAAUUCCAAUUUGAUUCAUUAGAGUAUAUUGAUUUGAGCAUGAAUGAGUUACAUGGGCCAAUUCCAAGUUCAAUAUUUAAGCUUGCAAAUCUUGAAUUUCUCUAUCUUUAUUCAAAUAACUUGAGUGGUGUUUUGGAGACAAGCAACUUUGGAAAACUUAGAAACCUCACUUUGCUUGUUCUCUCAAACAACAUGCUCUCAUUGAUCACCUCUGGCAAUUCCAACUCCAUUUUACCCUAUAUUGAGAGGCUAGACCUUUCAAACAAUAAGAUUAGUGGAAUAUGGUCAUGGAAUAUGGGAAAGGAUACACUGUUGUACUUGAAUCUCUCUUAUAACAUCAUAAGUGGGUUUGAGAUGCUUCCAUGGAAAAAUAUGCACAUUCUAGAUCUUCAUUCCAACUUGUUGCAAGGACCACUUCCAAUUCCUCCAAAUUCUACAUUUUUCUUUUCAGUCUCCCAUAACAAAUUGAGUGGAGAAAUUUCACCCCUGAUUUGCAAAGUGAGUUCCAUGGGAGUUCUUGAUUUGUCUAGUAACAACUUGAGUGGCAUGCUUCCUCAUUGUUUGGGAAAUUUUAGCAAAGAUCUCUCUGUUUUGAAUUUACGAAGGAAUAGAUUUCAUGGCACCAUUCCUCAAACAUUUUUAAAGGGCAAUGCUAUCAGAAAUCUUGACUUCAACGAUAAUCAGUUGGAAGGCCUAGUACCUCGAUCUUUGAUCAUUUAUAGAAAACUUGAAGUUCUAGACCUUGGGAAUAAUAAGAUAAAUGAUACAUUUCCUCAUUGGUUGAGAACUCUUCCAGAGUUGCAAGUUCUUGUUUUGCGCUCUAAUAGUUUCCAUGGUCAUAUAGGGUUUUCCAAGAUCAAAUCCCCAUUCAUGAGCCUAAGAAUCAUUGAUCUUGCUCACAAUGAUUUCGAGGGUGACUUGCCUGAAAUGUAUUUGAGAAGUUUGAAAGCUAUAAUGAAUAUAGAUGAAGGCAACAUGGCAAGAAAAUACAUGGGGGAAUAUUAUUAUCAAGAUUCCAUAACAGUGACAACAAAAGGGUUGGAUGUUGAACUUGUGAAAAUCUUGAAUACUUUCACAACGGUUGAUUUAUCAAGCAACAAAUUCCAAGGAGAGAUUCCCAAGUCCAUUGGAAAUCUUAAUUCACUUCGAGGGCUUAAUUUGUCUCAUAAUAACCUUACAGGACUUAUUCCAUCAUCUUUUGGAAAUUUGAAGUCGCUUGAAUCAUUGGACCUCUCUUCAAACGAGCUAAUUGGGAGUAUUCCUCAACAAUUAACAAGUUUGACAUUUCUUGAAGUUUUGAAUCUUUCCCAAAACCAUCUUACUGGAUUCAUACCUCGAGGUAAUCAGUUUGACACUUUUGGAAAUGAUUCAUACAAUGAGAACUCAGGGUUGUGUGGAUUUCCGUUGUCAAAGAAAUGCAUAGCUGAUGAAACACCGGAGCCUUCAAAAGAAGCAGAUGCAAAGUUUGAUGGUGGAUUUGAUUGGAAAAUCACAUUGAUGGGAUAUGGAUGUGGAUUGGUUAUUGGGUUGUCUCUUGGGUGUCUCGUUUUCUUAACUGGGAAACCUAAAUGGUUUGUUUGGAUUAUUGAAGAUAAUAUUCAUAAAAAGAUCAGAAGGUCUAAAAUGAGCACUUGCAAGCAAGGAGCAAGAAGAAAUUAACUCGUUCCACUCCCACUUUAUUAUGUGUUGCAUAUUAUAAAUGGCCUUUACAUUCUUAUGUUGGCAAAUAAUCUAUAUUGUCAUUAUACAAGUGCAAUCUUGUUUAUAAAGUUAAAAUAAUGUUUUUUUUCCUUAUUAUUAUCACUAUUAUUAUUUUGGUUUUGUGAUAAUGCAAUAUCAUUCAUUCAAUAUUUUUUCAAUAAAUGUGGUAACUUAAAACUCAAAAAGUAAUUGUCAUAUCUUGGAAACCAUACACUAAUGAAUAAAUAUUAAAGAGUUAGAAGACAUUUGAAUACAUUUCCAUUUUUUAUAAAAUAGAGGGUAACAUCAUAUGUUCUACUUUAGUUGCCCUUGAUCACUUUUUGGGAUGAUAGUCAGUCUUCUCACCAAUAGGGAUUUGGAUGAGUGAGACCUCAAGUUCAAACCAAUAAAUGAUUCAAUUCCUCCAAUUGACAUGGUUCCAACUGAUCGAUUUGUUGUUCCUACCUUCCAAACCCCAAUCAAUGUAAGGCAAAGUUAAGGAGUGCCUUUUUUCUCAAGCCAACACUCAAAUGUGAUAAUCCAUAGGAAAGAAAGGCUGAUUUUUCUAGUAUGCCUAAUCGUUAACCCUUCUCUCUCUUUCUUUAAUUAAAUCCUUUGGCUCCUUCUUUUAAAAAUAGUUGUCCUCCAUCCUCUUGUAAACAACUAUUUAGUCUUUUCAUUACAUCCCAAUUUAUUUAAGAACCUUAAUUAAGAAAAGAACAAUAAUCUUGUUUAUAUUUCAAUAUGUAUAGAAUGGAUUAUUUUCAACUAGUAUUUGUUUUUAUUAAAACAUGUAUGGGAGCCAAUUUGAUCAUGGCCCAAGUUUAGGCCACAACAAGAUAGAAUCAGUGUUGCAACCAAAGGGCCGAAGCUAGCUUUAACUAAAAUGCUUAUUAUUCUCCUUAGGAGGUGUAGCAUAGGAUGACAAUUUCAAUCAAUAACUUUCUUGAACUUUUUUAAAUAUUAUUUUUUAUACAUCAUUACAAAGUAAUAUUAGUAUUUCUUGAAAGGGAAAAUUAAUGAUUCAAAAAAUUAAAAUUAAAUACCAAAACUCAUAACCAUUUUGUUUAAUCAUGAAGUCUCAUUCUUCUUUUAAUAUAUAUGUAAAUAUUUAAAAUAUUUGUGAAUUACUAUAAUUGAAAAAUUAUUGUAUCUUAUAUUUCUCACAUGAACAUCAUAGAAAAUUGUCCUUCUAAUCAAUUAGUUAAUCAAGUUAAUAUAAUUAUAGUACUUUUAUCCUUGUGUCAAUAGACAUCUCAAUCAACGUAUUCAUUAUUAUAAACUUUUAAAUUAUUUUGGAAGAUAGGUUAUUGUGCUUUUUUCUUCUAAAUUAUAUUUUUUAAUAUUUUUAUUUAUUUAUUUAUUCAUCAUUACUAUUAUAACAAUUUACCUAACAAAUUCUUUCUCCUUUUCUUUAUGUACAUAAAAAGAAAAUAAAAUUAAUCACAUAGUCUAGACUACUUGUAGUUCCUAAAAAUUUCAAAGAAAUAAAAGAAAAGAAUAAUUUUUUCUGUUAUUUGAUUAUUUAAAGAAAAGUUCAAGACAAAAACAAAAUUCUAAAAAAAUAUACUUAUAUAUAUAUAUAUAUAUAUAUAUAUAUAUAUAUAUAUAUAAAAUAAGCAUGUGUAUGUAUAAGUGUUUAGUUGGAUUUAGGAAUGUGGAUUUGGAUUUGAUGACUCAGUCAAAAAUAUAUGAGGAGGAAAAUAGAUUCAUAUCUAAGUGGAAAAUAGACUCAUAAAUGAUUGAAGAAGGAAAAUAAUUAAUACUACCAUAUAAAGGGCUGAGAAUUUAAAAUAAAAAUAACAAUUGUAUGGUAUAUAAAAAUCCGGUCAAUGAAAAUUGCACCCACAAGCGUGUGUGACAUCACAUGCAUGACAUGGAAAAUGGAAAAUGGAAUGGUUUGAAAUACUCAAUCUUGAAGACGGGGAAAAUUUUGGCAAAUGAGUUCAUUUUUCUAAGUCAACAAAAAUAUUCUAUCCCAUGAUGUAAGCUUAAGUGGAAUGAAAAUUAUUAUAAUAUUAACUAUUCUCCAUAUAGUGUAAGUGGAAUGAAAAAGGGAUCAUUGUGUUUUGGACAUAAUUGGAUCCAAAAAUUAAGUUUUGGUUCAUAUAAGUUCACCAUUUAAGCUCAAAAUUGAGAGGAAGUGUGAACUUAAGAAGAAGAAUAUAUAUUUUUUAUCUUUUCAAAAACGACCUUUAUUGACUAUGAAAAAAAAAAGCAGUAAAACAUUAAUUUAAAUUUUAUUUCUUUUGUAUUUUUUAAAAACAGGUUUCAUUAAAUUCAUUUUUGGAUGGUAGGUAGGAAGUCCUUUGAACCACCAUGACCACAAAAGAGAGAAUGUUCAUUGAUGGGAGAAUGUAUGAUCCAUUCAGGGGAAAGAAAAUAUUUUUUGUUCUUAAAAUAUAAAACAUUGUUUUUCAAAUUAAAAAACAUGUUUGAUAAUUUUUUCAAUAAAAAAUAAAAUUUUGAGAACUUUGUAUGAAAAUAUGGUAUUUUUUAUUAUUAUAUUUUUAUUUUUAAAUUAUUUUCAUUUUUUAUAGGGUUGUUUUAAAAAUAAUUGCAUAAGUAUAAAGAAUCAUAGAUAAAAGUUAUUUUUUAAUAAAUAUUUGAAAAUUCAAACAACAUGUUAAAAAUCAUUUCAAAUUUUUAAAUAAACUUCUACUAAAAAACUAUUUUAAAAACGCAUUCCCAAAUUGAACCAUACAUUAGGUACUUAUGCAUAGCCAUAUGAAAGUAAGAAAUGAUCAAGUCCAAUAGCUUUUUUAAGGAUAACUUAAUAGAGGGACAAUUGAGAAGAACAAGUCCAACUCAUUAUUCCUUCUUUUCAAGUCAUGAGCAAACUUGUGUCUAGAGCAAUAUUAAUAAUAAUAAUAAUAAUAAUAAAUAAUAGAUUGCACAUAAUUUUGUCAAAGAAAAUUUGUCCUCUCCAAAAGUUUAUAUUGUAAUUUACAUAUAAUUAUAAUUGUGCCUCUUUUAAUCUAAAAUUUAUUCCUUUAUAUAUUCUAUAAUUCUAGAAUUAUUAUUUUUUUCCUCCAAGUAAUCUUUAAUAAAACUUCCAUUACUAGUACACUAUUUUUGUGUAUUAAAAUCAUUUCAUAACAAGUGCAUAGCACCAUUUUACUACAACAUUUACCAUAUAUAUUUAGCAAUAAUCUUUGGUCAAUCCACAAUCAUCUCUUGGAUUUGGAGAUGAUGAUCCAAGAAUGGUGGAGGAACAAGGUUACUCAUUGCUAAUUUAAUUGGUUGGUGAAUGAUGUUUUGAAGUGAUUUCAAAUUAUGAUGUAGGUAUUAUUUUUUAGAUAUAAUCUAGAAAAAAUAUGAUUUUAUUAUAGUCAUUGUUUUUAACUUAAUGAGACCUGAAUAGGAGUGUUUUUACUUUUUUGAGAAUUUAUUUUCAUGGUAUAAUUAUUUUUUUCAUAUUUCGUUAAAAAAAUAAAAUGAAAUGAUUACAUGAGAACUCAUAUGAAAAGAAUUUGGUGGGCAUUCUUCAAAUUAACAGGGAUUUGGAGAACACUUCGAUCCACCUGAGGUGGAAUAAGUAGGAAACAAUCAUUUUCUAAAUUGAUGGUGAUGAUUACAUUAAUAAAUUAAUAUUACUUCCAAAGUAGAGAAAGUGGAUGCUUUCUUUAUCAAAAGCAUUGUUAGGGCUUUCACUUUAGAAAUACAGGAUAAUCAUAAUGUUUCAUAAAGCAAGAGUAAUUAAAUAGUUCCUUGUUAUGUGUUUUCUUUGAAAAUGACUUCAAAAAAAAAAGAAAAAAAAUGAAGAUUAGGUACUUUCUUUAUUCCAAAUAAUUACUAAGACUAGAUAUUAUUAUUUUAUAACUUAAAUAUUUGAAAAUAUAUUACAUUUGAUAUUGAAAUGAUCAGCUACAUGGCUCUAAGGUAUGGAGUACCUUCUAAUUAAUAUGUACAAUAUUUAUGAUAUUUCUAGGGGAGAUAUUUCAUGAGAUGUCAUAAUUCUUUUGUAAAUGUUUAUUUAUACGUGUUUUAUUUAGAAAAUGUUCAAAAAUAAAUAUAAAGAUUAAAACAAAACAAUUACUAUCUCUGAAACUAUUUUAUCGAGCCCAAAACCAUUCUAAAAUAAAGCGAAGAGAUUGAACUAAAUUAAAAAGUAAAUUAAUUUAUACCAAAGUAGGUGGGUACUUGAAUUUGUCUAGAUUUGAAAAAAUGGUAUGGAUAUUUUUUCCAAAGAAAAUUAAAACCACAUGGCUUGUAAAAAAAAAAAUAAGAUAAGGUUGGUUGCUAAAGAAAAAAAAAUGGAAGAAACAUAUGUAUUAAGGAUUUCCUCCGGUAGCAUAUUGAUAGUUUUUUAAUAGGGAAAAUCAUCUAACCAUACAUCAACUAUAAAAAAUAUGAGAUUUUGGAACUUUACUUUUUUCUUUUUAAUUUUGGUGUAAAAUGGGAAAAAAUAUUAUCUAUUCAUGUACUCCAAUAGUGCUUUCAAAUUUGUUUCACAAUCACCCUUAAAAGUAAAGGACAAAGUACACAUCAAUUUAAUACCACUUGUUAACAAGUACAUGUGUAAUUUAUUUUUAUUGUUUUUCUCACAGUAAUAUAUCUCCCUUAUCACUCGCCAAGUUUCCAUUUUUUUCUUUAUUUUUUCCUUAACUGCCACCAUAAUCCAUUGUUACCUAUUAUAGUUUUUAUUAUUAUUAUUAUUAUUAUUUCCUUUAUAUUCUUUUUAAUAUGCUCUUGCAUUUUCUCAUAAAACUUCUUUAAUUUUAAUUUAUUUUUACUCUAUAAUUUGUCUAUAUUUAUUAAUUUUAAUUAUUUUUUGACAUAUUAAACUUAAAAUGAUCAUAUAUAAUAAAUAAUUAAUAUAACAAAUUAAAUAAAAACAAAAUAUAUAAUGGACAAAAAUGAAAAUAUUAUCCCACAAAUAAUAAUGAUUUUAAAUAUUAAUUAUAAUAAUAUAUUUUAUAAAUUAAGGUUUAAAUUUAAAAAUUCUAUUUCAUUAUUUAGAAGUUUAUGAUAUAAGAUUUUUUAUAUUAAUACUAAAAAAAAGAUUUAUUUAUUUUGUAAAUUCUAUCACAUGUAAAAGUAAAAAUAUCACUGUAAUACUAUUUUAUUAUUUACAUUAUUUUUCUUUUAAUUUUCAUUUUAAAUUUAUCAUAUCAAAAUCACAAUAAGUGAUGGUGCUUUUAUCAUUUUUCUUAUGAUUUUAAAUUGAUUAUGGAUCUAACUUUUUUUGGUUAAAAUCUUUAAUUUUUAAUUAAAAUAAAAUAUAAAAGAAAAUAUAUUUUUCAUAAAAAAAAUUAUAUUUAACCUUUUAUAUUAAUUUCAUAAAAAAUAGGUACAUCUUUAAAAAAAAAAAAAAAAAGAUAAAUUAAUGCUUAGGAGAAUCGGAAACACUAUCAUACUUAUCAUGGUGUAUAUAUUCCUUUGGGACCCUUGAUAAGUAAUUGGAGGUUUUUGCCCACCCCAAAAAGAACUUUGGGAUCCUAGGUAUAUCCAUUCUUAGAGGAACCAAGACCCCUAUUUCAUUUUCAUGGUUCAUAUAUUCCUUUGGGGACCCUUGAGAAGGAAUUAUAGGUUAUUCCCCACCGUAAAACGGACAUUGUAACCCAAGGUACAUCCUAAAGACAAUUUGAUACAUCAUUUACAAAAUUUGGUACAUAUUUCAUAAAAUUUGACAUAUCCUUAAAACAAUUUUGUACAUCCAAUCCAUGAGCUACCAAGACCUCUAUAUUAUUACCCGUGGUUCUUUUAUUUCUUUAAAGAUCUUUAAGAAGUAAUUAGAGGUCGUUCCCUACUCCGAAACGAACUUUGGAACCCUAAGUACACCCUUAAGGAAAUUUGGUACAUUGUUAAGAAAUUUUGGUACAUCCAAUCCCCAAGCUAUCGAGACCCCUAUCUAUCUUCUUAUGGUUCAUAUUAUCAUUUGAGGACACUUAGGUACUGAUUGAAGGCCAUUCCCUACAUUGGAACGAACUUUGUCACUCUUGGUACAUCCUUUAAAAAAUUUGGUACAUCCUUAAAAAUAUUUGGAACAUACUUGAGCUAUUGAAACCUCUAUCUUAUUACCCAUGGUCCAUUUAUUCCUUUAGGGGUCUUUGGGUAGUGAUUGGAGAUCGUUCCCUACUCCGAAAUGGACUUUGGAACCCUAGGUACAUUAUUGAGAAAAUUUGAUACAUCCAAUCUUUAAGCUAACGAGACACUUACUUCCAUUUCCGUAGUCCAUUUCUUCCUUUGGAAACCCUCGGGAAGUUAUUGAAGGUCGUUCCCCACCUCAUAACGGACUUUGGCAACAUUGGUACAUCAUUUACAAAAUUUGGUACAUUCUUCACAAAAUUUGGUACAUUAUGAAGGAUGUACCAAAUUUUGUGAAGGAUGUACCAAGGGUUUCAAAGUGCAUUCCGAUGGGGGGAUUGACCCUCAAUCACUUCCUUAUGGGUUCCAAAAUGAAAUCAUGUGUCAUCUAUAUUCGGAUGGGGGACCCAGAAACAAUAGGAUCAGAUGUACCAAAUUUAAUGAAUGAUGUACCAAAUUUUGUGAAGGAUGUACCAAAUGUUCCAAAGUGCAUUCUAAGGUGGAGAUCGGCCCCUAAUCACUUCCUUAUGGGUUCCAAAAUGAAAUCAUGGAUCAUCCAUGUUUAGAUGGGAGUCCUGGAAACAAUAUAAUCGGAUGUACCAUUUUUCUCAUCUUCCCGUUCUCUUUCAAUUGCUUUAGGAAGAAUGAUGUCUAAACUCCUCCUCUUUUUUUUUCUUUUCUUCCUCUCGUCCUCUCAGCUUCUUUCCUCAUCUUUCUCUUUCUCUAAUUCCACCAAACUAUGCCCGCAUCACCAAGCCUUGCUUUGCUCCACCUUAGGCAAUCAUUUUCUAUUGAUAAUUAUAGUUCUUGGUAUUGCGAUUUCAAUGACAUCACUUCUUAUCCCAAAACAAAGUCUUGGAAGAAGGGUAGUGAUUGCUGCUCAUGGGAUGGGGUCACAUGUGAUUGGGUGACAAACCAUGUAAUUGAGCUGGACCUCAGUUGCAGUUGGCUCUUUGACACCAUCCAUUCCAACACUACCCUAUUCCUCCUUCCUCAUCUACAAAGGAUCAACCUAGCUUUCAACAACUUCAAUGGGUCCUCUAUUUCAGCUAGGUUUGGUCGGUUUUCAAGCUUGAUGCAUUUCAAUCUCUCUGACUCUGGAUUUUCAGGCCUAAUUUCACCAGAAAUCUCUCACCUCUCCAACUUGGUUUCACUUGAUCUCUCUUGGAAUAUUGACACAUAAUUUGCCCCACAUGGCUUUAAUUCUUUGGUUCAAAAUUUAGCCAAAUUGCAGAAGCUUCACCUUGGAGGUAUUUCCAUCUCUUCAAUUUUUCCUAAUUCCUUGCUAAAUCGUUUUUCUUU